rnacentral:rRNA from 1 species
UGGGGAAUAUUGCACAAUGGGCGCAAGCCUGAUGCAGCGACGCCGCGUGAGGGAUGAAGGCCUUCGGGUUGUAAACCUCUUUCGUCAGGGAAGAAGCGAAAGUGACGGUACCUGAAGAAGAAGCACCGGCUAACUACGUGCCAGCAGCCGCGGUAAUACGUAGGGUGCGAGCGUUGUCCGGAAUUAUUGGGCGUAAAGAGCUUGUAGGCGGUUUGUCGCGUCUGCCGUGAAAACCUAGGGCUUAACUCUGGGCGUGCGGUGGGUACGGGCAGGCUAGAGUGUGGUAGGGGAGACUGGAAUUCCUGGUGUAGCGGUGAAAUGCGCAGAUAUCAGGAGGAACACCGAUGGCGAAGGCAGGUCUCUGGGCCAUAACUGACGCUGAGAAGCGAAAGCAUGGGGAGCGAACAGG